rfam:Ictidomys tridecemlineatus contig038614, whole genome shotgun sequence.
GGCGUUGUGGCUGGGUGGUAGAGCACUUGCCUAGCACACGUGAAACGCUGGGUUCAAUCCCCAGCACCACCU